rnacentral:rRNA from 1 species
GACAGAGGGUGCAAACGUUGUUCGGAAUUACUGGGCGUAAAGCGCGUGUAGGCGGCCUACUAAGUCGGGCGUGAAAUCCCACGGCUCAACCGUGGAAGUGCACUCGAAACUGGAUGGCUAGAGUCCUGGAGAGGAAGGUGGAAUGCUUGGUGUAGAGGUGAAAUUCGUAGAUAUCAAGCGGAACACCGGUGGCGAAGGCGGCCUUCUGGACAGUGACUGACGCUGAGACGCGAAAGCGUGGGGAGCAAACAGG